rnacentral:rRNA from 1 species
AACAUAGCUUUAAGUAUUUAUUUAAAGUUUUGCCUGCCCGGUGAUUUUUUUAACGGCUGCGGUAAUACGUGUUAAAGUAGCAUAAUAAUUUGUCUUUUUACUGAGGACUUGUAUGAAAGGCUUAACGAAGUUUUUUUGUCUUUUAUUAUUAAGUAAACUUUAUUUUUUGGUGAAAAAUCCAAAAUUAAGUUAAGGGACGAGAAGACCCUGUAGAGUUUUAUAAAAAACUCAAAAUUUUUGAGUGUUUAUUUAGUUGGGGCAACUAAGGAUCAAUAAAAAUCCUUAUAAAUAAAUUUAAGAUAUUAAAUUAAGAUAACUCUAAGAAAAAUUUUAAACUACCUCAGGGAUAACAGCGUUAUUUAAUCAGAGAGUUCUAAUUGAAGAUUAAGUUUGCGACCUCGAUGUUGGACUAGGGUAAUAUUAAUAUGUAGAAGUAUUAAGAAGAGGCCUGUUCGGCCUGUAAUACCYUACAUGAUCU